rnacentral:rRNA from 1 species
UACGAAGGGUGCAAACGUUGCUCGGAAUCAUUGGGCGUAAAGCGCACGUAGGCGGCCUCACAAGUCGGAUGUGAAAUCCCGUGGCUCAACCAUGGACGUGCAUUCGAAACUGCGAGGCUUGAGUAUGGAAGAGGGUCGCGGAAUUCCCGGUGUAGAGGUGAAAUUCGUAGAUAUCGGGAGGAACACCAGUGGCGAAGGCGGCGACCUGGGCCAAUACUGACGCUGAGGUGCGAAAGUGUGGGGAGCGAACAGG